GGGAAAAUAGAACAGACACAAGCAAGUGAAAAGAAGUUUUACUUCGGUGGCUCACCAAUCAGUGCUCAGUAUGCUAAUUUCACUGGCUGCAUAAGUAAUGCCUACUUUACCAGGGUGGAUAGAGAUGUGGAGGUUGAAGAUUUCCAACGGUAUACUGAAAAGGUCCACACUUCUCUUUAUGAGUGUCCCAUUGAGUCUUCACCAUUGUUUCUCCUCCAUAAAAAAGGAAAAAAUUUAUCCAAGCCUAAAGCAAGUCAGAAUAAAAAGCGAGGGAAAAGUAAAGAUGCACCUUCAUGGGAUCCUGUUGCCCUGAAACUCCCAGAGCGGAAUACUCCAAGAAACUCUCAUUGCCACCUUUCCAACAGCCCUAGAGCAAUAGAGCACGCCUAUCAAUAUGGAGGAACAGCCAACAGCCGCCAAGAGUUUGAACACUUAAAAGGAGAUUUUGGUGCAAAGUAAAGUAACACACUAUACUCCUAGACUCCUAAUGACAUGGCUGGGCUCCAUCUUUGUUUGUCACAUGUCAUCGUUUUAUCCUAUCUUUCCUUUCUGUGCCACCUUAAUCCUAUUAUGUUAUCAUCAAAAUAAAUACUAAAUAGUACAUGAUUUAUGCUAUCAAAAGAAUUAUAUUCUCUGUGACUUUCCAAUUGUAAGGUUCAUAAAACAGUAUUCUUCCAGGAUACUGUAUUUGAUC
rnacentral:sRNA from 1 species